UAAGGGCGUAGGCGAUGAGAGAGGCAGGCAAAUCCACCUUUCGAGCUGAAACCUGAUAGUAUGGAGUCCCCCUCGGGGGAGUCCAACAGCGCCGGUAAUCAUACUCCCGAGAAAAUCCGCUAAGCAUAACCUUCAUGGUACCCGUACCGCAAACCGACACAGGUAGACGGGUAGAACAUACUAAGGCAUUGAGAGAUUCAUGGUUAAGGAACUAGGCAAACUGACCCUGUAACUUCGGGAUAAAGGGUCCUCAUAGCGAUAUGAGGCGCAGAGAAUAGGUCCAGGCAACUGUUUAACAAAAACACAGGGCUGUGCGAACACGAGAGUUGAAGUAUACAGCCUGACACCUGCCCGGUGCCGGAAGGUUAAGAGGAGAGGUCAUCCUUCGGGUGAAGCCUUGAAUUGAAGCCCCGGUAAACGGCGGCCGUAACAAUAACGGUCCUAAGGUAGCGAAAUUCCUUGUCGGGUAAGUUCCGACCUGCACGAAUGGUGUAAUGAUCCGGACGCUGUCCCAACCAUGAUCUCAGUGAAAUUGUAGUAUCGGUGAAGAUGCCGAUUACCCGCGAUGGGACGAAAAGACCCCGUGAACCUUUACUACAGCUUAGCAUUGACCUUGGUCAUCCGAUGUGUAGGAUAGGCCGGAGGCUUAGAAGCGCGCACGCCAGUGUGUGUGGAGCCAUCCUUGAAAUACGGCCCUUUGGCUGUCUGAGGUCUAACGCGCGGUUGCGCGGACACUGCUUGGUGGGUAGUUUGACUGGGGUGGUCGCCUCCAAAAGCGUAACGGAGGCUUCCAAAGGUGCCCUCGGGCCGAUUGGUAACCGGCCUUUAAGAGUGCAAUGGCAUAAGGGCGCUUGACUGGGAGGCAGACAUGUCGAGCAGGCAGGAAACUGGGGCAUAGUGAUCCGGUGCAAGUGUAUGGAAACUGCAUCGCUCAAAGGAUAAAAGGUACUCCGGGGAUAACAGGCUGAUCCCCCCCAAGAGCUCAUAUCGACGGGGUGGUUUGGCACCUCGAUGUCGGCUCGUCACUUCCUGGGGCUGGAGAAGGUCCCAAGGGUUGGGCUGUUCGCCCAUUAAAGUGGCACGCGAGCUGGGUUCAGAACGUCGUGAGACAGUUCGGUCUCUAUCUAUCGUGGGCGCAGGAGUUUUGCGUGGUGCCGUCACUAGUACGAGAGGACCGUGAUGGACAGACCUCCGGUUUACCGGUUGUGCCGCCAGGUGCACCGCCGGGUAUCUGAGUCUGGUAUGGAUAAGCGCUGAAAGCAUCUAAGCGCGAAGCCUUCCGCAAGAUGAGAACUCCCUAGAGGGUCGUCCGAGACGAGGACGUUGAUAGGGUGCAGGUGUAAAGACGGCGACGUCAAAGCCGAGCACUACUAAUUGCUCAAAAC
rnacentral:rRNA from 1 species